GUCCUAAUGACCCCAGUAAUUGUUAUUUUAUUCAGGUAAAAGUAAUUCUUAAAAUAUCGACACACGUAACCACUCAAUACUCGCUUACAUAACCUAUUUACACUCUUUCUUUACUAGAUAAUGAAUUUAGGGGGUUUGAAUAGUACGUGUUUAAAUGACACAUAAUAAUAACGCCGUAUUAAUUCGCACAAUAACAAUCUCGCAGAAGUUGCAAAUUUUUCUUUGCGGUCACAUAAGAUGUUUUUUUCUGCAGAAAACAAUUAGAGCUAAUUAUGUAUGUAUUUUCUCAAUUUCCUAGUUAAUGAUGACUUCCCAUUUCGCGAAUCAUUAUACAACUUCUAAAUUACACUUUAACAGUUGAAACGUUUAUAACAUCGUGAUUUAAACGUGGCUAAUUAUUUACCAGACGCGACGGCCAUCGAGGUAAAAAGGUACAUUGUUUUCAGAUCUAUGAGAAAUUUUAUCAAGAUCAAGCGAUAAAAUGAAAUCCAUGAUUUUGGUUCUUGUCGUCAUGAUAACGGGUGGAAUCGCCUCUGCGUCCACAUUUAAUAACAACAAUAACGACUUCCCAGACAGGACCUUUAACAACAACAAUGAUCAGUUUAUGGGAUCAACAAACAAUAACAACAACAAUAGAUUUCCAGGUACAACAAAUAAUAACAAUAAUAAUGGAUUCCCUGGAUCAAUAACUAAUAAUAACAACAACGGGUUCCCCGGGGGGUCGAUAAAUAACAAUAAUAAUGGAUUCCCUGGAUCCGGGUCAAUCACAAACAACAAUGGAUUCCCUAAUUCUCCACCUAAUAACAACAAUGGGUUUCCUCAGGGCUCAUUUACUAACAACAACAACAAUGGACUUCACUGGUUCCAGCGGCAAUAGCCCAACGUCUACCAUCUUAGGUCCACCGUCAUCUUUUCCAAACAAUCGGUGCCCUUUUGGACAACUAAUUAAUAACAAUAAUGGGGACAAACAGGUCUUAUGUCUGGCCAAAGGAAUCCAAUCAGUCACAAACAAUAAUAAUAACAGUCACUGAAAAAUAUUUGGACACGGACUCUUGUCGUAAAAACUUGCAAUGCAUUCAUUUUUCGAAACUAUUACGGACGAAUUGUUUAAUAAAAAAUUAUUAUGAAUUUCUAAUGGGCCUUGGAAUAAUUGAGAAUCAAUAAUUCGUACUUAUAAUUUAUUCGUUCAUGUCAUCUAGAAAAUGAAGUUCUUUCUUUGGUAAAAAGAUAGCAUAUUUGUAAUUAUGGAAUUAUGUAUGAGACUCUGUACAUACAGCGAAAUGGUUCUUUCUUUCACGUAGACUGAAUUAUCAUAUUUUAGAACGUCAAUUAAAAUCUGGAAUAUCGUUUAGUCAGUUUUUAUUUACAUGCCAGGUAAUCCUAAACGAAGUAAUUCUACAUACAUACAUAUUUACCAUUCGCUAUAAGCAAUUGGGAAUCUAGUCAUGAACCAAAAUCAACUUGUUUUGAUUUUAUUUUAUUCACAAAUUUAUUUCUGGAUAAACGUUUCCUGCGAAAGUCCUAUAACUUUAACAUUAACGUUGCAAAUACCGAGGGUGGUGGUGGAAAAGUUGCAAAUACCCCGGUGCAAAAUAUAUCACCUAACAAAGUUGGAAACAAUGAUGCUUGCAUUCCAACAAGGGAACCGUGUAAAGGGGACGGUAGUUGGGGGAACUGUUGCAGUAAAUAUUGCAACCAGCAAGCACAACUCCCUUACGGAAGCUGUCACUAACUUAAUUAAUUAACUGAUUACGUUAUGAAAUGUAAUACAAAUAAACGAAUAUAAUUGACGUCACAAGAGA